AAGAAUUUAGUUAAAUAUAUAACAUUAGAUUGUCAAACUAAAAUUAUUAAUAUUAAUAAUUCUUA
rnacentral:tRNA from 1 species